UUCAUUUGUCACCGGCGAGCCGCUGCCGGGAGAGACAUCUGUCCGCUACUCGCGCGAACCUCGGUGACGCUCGGGAACACGGCUACUCGCUCGCUCCCGUCCACAAAGAUGUACGCCGUAAUCCUCACUUGGCUGCUUUUGCUCACAUCGGUGAUGGCGGAGGCAGAAAAUAACUCUGGGAGCAUCGUUGCAUCACCUGUGGCUGCUUGCCAGCCAGAGUCCACCUGUGCCUUCAUUGAAAACUUCAUGGAAGACCUUUUACAUUGUUUCGACAGAAUACUCGACAUGUUUAUGUAGCAGCGACCUCAUUCACGUGCUUGGAUGGCAAAACCAGAAAUGCUGCAUCUCACAUAAUCUGUUCACAAAAACCUUACCAAAAUAAGAUGUACCUAUCUAUAACGCAGUGUCAGCCAAAGUAUAUUGGCAUGACGAAAGAAAGAGGAGCUUUUGAUAAUGUGUGUGCCACUCACAAAUUUGAUUUGGUAUGUUUGUUUCUUUAUGAACUUCUGUGAACUUAACUUUGUAAUAUAAAUGUUUAAUAAUUCUAGUCAGAUGAAUGCCACUUCUAAUUUGUAACAGGUAAUCAUUGAAUGUACUCUCAGGCAGUAACGUACGUAGUAAUCUUGGCAAGGUCUGUACCCUCCUCUAGAUCAUUUAUGAUAAAAAUCUGUCAUAAUCAUAUAGAAGGAACAGAAGCUACAAAGUAUAUUGAACAUUCAGUAUAAUUAAAAAGCUACCACUUAUAUUUAACAUUCGGUCAACUGAAGAAAAAAACAAUAUCUAUUUAGGUAAGGUUGUGAUACAUUUUCUUUACAAUAAUUUUAAUAUUAUUUUAAAGUUUAACUGAUUAGACAGCAGGUGACAACAUAAUAAUGCAAUACAAAAAAAAAACAAAAAACCUAUAAAUAAAUCUUUAACUGCUGAAGAUUUUUAUUAAUUUUUCAUGUAUAUUAGACAUUCACUUUUUCCUCAAUUCAAAGUACUCUUGUAACUUGUAAAGGGCCAUAUCUGUCAAAGCAUGGAUUUGAAUCCCAAAGAGUACCUCGAAUAUAUUCAUAGAAUGUAAAUACAUAUAUGUCUCAAGGCUCAAAAAUAAAAUAAUAUGCAAGAAAUUUAAAA